GAAGAGGACCUCAGCGGUGGGCAUGCGCUGAUGUGUACUAGCCCUUCACCUUUAAUCUGCAUCUCACUAUGCUGGUAGAGGCACUAGGGGUUGAAAUAGCCCUCACUCCCAAAGGGAAUAAAGGACUUUGUUUUGUAUCUGUGACUGUUGAGCACAAACGGGCAUACGUACGCUUGCUCACACAAAGGCUGUGGCCACAGGGAGUCAACUAACAACAAUUAAAUAAUAUAAAAUGAUUUCCCAUGUCAGUAUUAGACAUGCUCGUACAAAAUAAAUUGCGACUCAG